rnacentral:lncRNA from 10 species
UGAUUUUGUUCGUUUCAUUUGGCAAUAGCCAAUUAAUACAACUACUUUAUUUUUCAUAGAUAUUUUCCUGUGUUUCUUCUUCUGUCCUUUUGCUAAAAUGGGUAAUUGAUAUUAAAUAAUUAAGUAAGUUACUAAGUGUGCCACGUAAAAUUACUACAGUGUGAGGACAUUACAGUGUACGUACUAUGAACAGUAGACUAACCAACAGGUCAACUAGGUUCAGUUUAUUCCAAUUCACAAGGGGAAUGCUUUGAGAGUUUUUGUAUUUGUCUGUUUUAGAUGUAAUGGAGUAACACAACUGCCAAGUGUCUUCUAAGGCAGUGACAGUUACGUUCUGUAGACCAGUUGAGUCAUUCUUCUUGUAUCAAUCUGAGAUGACUUAGCAGGAGACCGACCCACACAUGCAAAUUUUAAUUAUUUUUUCUUUCCUUUAUUUUAUUUUAUUUUAUUUAUUUAUUUAUUUAU